rnacentral:lncRNA from 1 species
GUUAAUGUACCAGGCAGUGACCUUGAUAAUGAUCUGGAAUUGCAGGAUUAAUGGGGGGUGGCAAGGCCUCCUGGGAAGGCACCGGCUUGGCCUCGGGAGUCCUUGGUCUACGGCCCUGGCUGACCUUGUUUGUAGGUGACCUGGGGUGGACGUGGUGUCCCGGAAACCCCGCUUCCUUGCCUGGGGAGAGCAGAACCUCCUGGGCCAGGCAGAGUCUCCUGGAAUCCUGGGGAAAUGCUGGGUAAGAACAGGAGGAGCUUGGAGCAUCUCAUGGAAACAAGUGCCACCUCCCUCCAGAAUGCCGCACUUGCUCCUGUUCCUCGGAGAAAGAAGGAGUUGCUGCAAGCACAUAGGAUGGGAUUUGCCGCGUCUUCCUGAGCUCGGCCUCCCGGGGAAGCGUGCGGCAGGCGGGCGAGCCGACCCCGCUUUCCUUUCUGGCGAGCCUUUACAGCAGAAUGGAGCAGCCGCGGAUACACACCCGCUCCCACCCACACACUCACGCCGGGCCCAGGCCGCCAGGCGUGGAUGCACGCGCACGCACACGCAUGCACACGUGCACACGCAUGGACACGCUCGUGCUGCAAGGCCAUGGGCCACCGUGUGCUGUUCCGUGCACAUUUAUUCUCCUCUGAGGACCCAGGCCGGCUUGUCCGUGAAGUGCCAACAUUAGGGGCUGUGCAGGGCAGGGUGAGCGAGCACUGACCACCAGCGCCGGCCCCCACUGCUGCGGCCAGUGGGCUGGACGACCAAGGACGAGGCCGGGGCCUUGAGACAAAAGUCCCAGCAAUGAGGCAGGGACCUCACAGCAGAGGGAGCUGGACCCAACCUGUUUUCAAGACACGAAUCUGCUGCAGCCCCCGACGGGCCCCAAGAGACUCUGCCUUGAGUCUUUUCUUAGGAGUCCACCCACGGCCGCAUCUCCAGCUAGAUCAAGCCCACGGCUUUUCACACUGCUGGACCAGACACCACGAGAGAUGUUCGGUCAACACUGUGCAUAUCUCAACUUUCAGGUGGACACUGCUGCCCGGAAAUGACUUUCACUUAUUUUCAAUCGGUCUACUUAGAAAAAGAAAAUCGGCAUUGGCUACGCUGUGACCAAGACAGCUUAGGGAAGAAGGGCAGGGUGGCUGCUGACCGCAGGCUCUCAACAGACCUGUGUACAAUGGGUGGGCAAGCAAGUGUCCAUGAGUGCAGAGACAGACAAGCAGAUGUCUAAUGAAGGAGGAGACAACCAGCAUCGAACAAAUGACCAAGAAAUAGAUGCCUAGUGGGUGAAUUGAUCAGCAAAUGUAUACACGUGUGCAUAAACAAAUCAAUAUCUAAUAUCUAAACUAAUAAAUGUAUGAACAAAUACAUGCCUAAUGAGUGAAUAGACAAAUAUCUCAUGAAUGCGUGGACAAAUCGAUAUCUAAUGAAUGGACAAACAAAUGCAUAUCUAUGAAUGGAUGAACAAAUACAUAUCGAAUAAAUAAAUGAAUAAAUACCUAAUAGAUAUAUGAACAGAUAUAUCUCUAAUGAGUGAAUAAACAAAUAUCUCAUGAAUACGUGGACAAAGCGAUAUCUAACGAAUGAAUGAACAAAUGCAUAUCUAUGAAUGGAUAAAGAAAUAAACAUCUCAUAAGUGAAUGAA